AGAGUUUGAUCCUGGCUCAGAUUGAACGCUGGCGGCAUGCCUUACACAUGCAAGUCGAACGGCAGCACGGGGGCAACCCUGGUGGCGAGUGGCGAACGGGUGAGUAAUAUAUCGGAACGUGCCCUGGAGUGGGGGAUAACGCAGCGAAAGUUGCGCUAAUACCGCAUACGAUCUAAGGAUGAAAGUGGGGGAUCGCAAGACCUCAUGCUCCUGGAGCGGCCGAUAUCUGAUUAGCUAGUUGGUAGGGUAAAAGCCUACCAAGGCGACGAUCAGUAGCUGGUCUGAGAGGACGACCAGCCACACUGGAACUGAGACACGGUCCAGACUCCUACGGGAGGCAGCAGUGGGGAAUUUUGGACAAUGGGGGCAACCCUGAUCCAGCAAUGCCGCGUGAGUGAAGAAGGCCUUCGGGUUGUAAAGCUCUUUUGUCAGGGAAGAAACGGUGCGGGCUAAUAUCCUGCGCUAAUGACGGUACCUGAAGAAUAAGCACCGGCUAACUACGUGCCAGCAGCCGCGGUAAUACGUAGGGUGCAAGCGUUAAUCGGAAUUACUGGGCGUAAAGCGUGCGCAGGCGGUUGUGUAAGUUUGUCGUGAAAUCCCCGGGCUCAACCUGGGAAUUGCGAUGAAGACUGCACGGCUAGAGUGUGUCAGAGGGGGGUAGAAUUCCACGUGUAGCAGUGAAAUGCGUAGAUAUGUGGAGGAACACCGAUGGCGAAGGCAGCCCCCUGGGAUAACACUGACGCUCAUGCACGAAAGCGUGGGGAGCAAACAGGAUUAGAUACCCUGGUAGUCCACGCCCU
rnacentral:rRNA from 1 species